UACGGGGGAUGCAAGCGUUAUCCGGAAUUAUUGGGCGUAAAGGGUCCGCAGGUGGCUAUGUAAGUCUGCUGUUAAAGAGCGAGGCUCAACCUCGUAAGAGCAGUGGAAACUACAUAACUAGAGUGCGUUCGGGGCAGAGGGAAUUCCUGGUGUAGCGGUGAAAUGCGUAGAUAUCAGGAAGAACACCGGUGGCGAAAGCGCUCUGCUAGGCCGCAACUGACACUGAGGGACGAAAGCUAGGGGAGCGAAUGGG
rnacentral:rRNA from 1 species